GGACAGGUAGCGAAGCGGCCAAACGCUGCUGACUGUAAAUCAGCCACCUUCUGGUUUCGGCGGUUCGAAUCCGUCCCUGUCCACCA
rnacentral:tRNA from 1 species